UUUAUGGAGAGUUUGAUCUUGGCUCAGGACGAACGCUGGCGGCGUGCCUAAUACAUGCAAGUCGAGCGCGGGAAGCAAGCAAUCGCCCUUCGGGGCGUGAGCUUGUGGAACGAGCG
rnacentral:rRNA from 1 species